AAGUGUCAGUGAAGCAGCAAGCAGUGAUAGUGCCGAAACAUUGUGAAAGGCUCAAAAGUGUGCUUAAGGCAGAGUCAGCCUGGAACCUCUAGAGCAUCUUAUUGCACUUUUCGCAUUCUCCAACUGCAACAUCAGGCUGUGGUUUCCCAUCAUUUUUGAAGAAAGAUGAGGAGAAUUUGUUUAGGAAGUAGAGUACAUGCUUUUUGGACAAAGAACACCAAGGUUCCCAUAUUGUUCUUAUGAGAAUGUCAAGAGGGAGGAGUUAUUUUCGCUUAUCAGUCAGGUUUUGAAGAUGGAAGGAAGCAGUGGCUUCCAAGCAAAAAUGUAAUGGAUGGUGAUGUGGUAGGCAAUUGCUCACUUAAGGAGUGAUGAUCAGUCUUCUAGAAAGCAAUGUGCGACGGAGUAAAUGAAGAGGUUUCUUCUAAUUUGAUUUGCUUCAGACAGAGGAAAGCAUAUCAAGGAACCAAUUUGCC